rnacentral:rRNA from 1 species
CCUACGGGUGGCAGCAGUGGGGGAUAUUGCACAAUGGGGGGAACCCUGAUGCAGCGACGCCGCGUGGGUGAAGGAGCGCUUCGGCGCGUAAAGCCCUAUCGGCAGGGAAGAAGAUGACGGUACCUGACCAAUACUCCCCGGCUAACUACGUGCCAGCAGCCGCGGUAAUACGGAGGAUGCGGGCGUUAUCCGGAUUUACUGGGUUAAAGGGGUGCGUAGGCGGUCUGUUAGGCCCGCGGUAAAGGCCUGGGGCCAACCCCAGGGACGCCGUUGAAACUGGCAGGCUCGAGUUGGGGAGAGGUAGGCGGAAUGCGCGGUGUAGCGGUGAAAUGCAUAGAUAUCGCGAAGAACUCCGAUUGCGAAGGCAGCAUGCCGGCUCGAAACUGACGCUGAGGCACGAAAGCGUGGGUAUCGAACAGGAUUAGAUACCCUAGUAGUC